UACGGAGGGGCGAGCGUUGUCCGAAGUUACUGGGCGUAAAGCGCGCGUAGGCGGGUUGGCAAGUCCGCUGUGAAAGCCCGGAGCUCAACUCCGGAGGGUCGGUGGAUACUGCCAGUCUUGAAGGUGCGUAGGGGGAGGAUGGAAUUACCGGUGUAGCGGUGAAAUGCGUAGAUAUCGGUAGGAACACCAGUGGCGAAGGCGGUCUCCUGGGGCAUUCUUGACGCUGAUGCGCGAAAGCUGGGGGGAGCAAACGGG
rnacentral:rRNA from 1 species